AUUGAACGCUGGCGGCAGGCUUAACACAUGCAAGUCGAGCGGAGCGAGGGUGCUUGCACCUUAGCUUAGCGGCGAACGGGUGAGUAAUGCUUAGGAAUCUGCCUAUUAGUGGGGGACAACAUUCCGAAAGGAAUGCUAAUACCGCAUACGCCCUACGGGGGAAAGCAGGGGAUCUUCGGACCUUGCGCUAAUAGAUGAGCCUAAGUCGGAUUAGCUAGUUGGUGGGGUAAAGGCCUACCAAGGCGACGAUCUGUAGCGGGUCUGAGAGGAUGAUCCGCCACACUGGGACUGAGACACGGCCCAGACUCCUACGGGAGGCAGCAGUGGGGAAUAUUGGACAAUGGGCGGAAGCCUGAUCCAGCCAUGCCGCGUGUGUGAAGAAGGCCUUUUGGUUGUAAAGCACUUUAAGCGAGGAGGAGGCUACUUAGAUUAAUACUCUAGGAUAGUGGACGUUAAUCGCAGAAUAAGCACCGGCUAACUCUGUGCCAGCAGCCGCAGUAAAAC
rnacentral:rRNA from 1 species